rnacentral:miRNA from 1 species
UUGUUAAAAGUUUCAUCCAUU